GCGGGAAAUGCAAGAGGCCAAUAUAGAACCAUGGUCAUCACCAUUUGGUUUUAAAAAAUUUAAAAUGAAACCCCAUUAUUAUUAACACCAAGUUACUCGUACAUUUUUGAUAAAAAGUAAAAGUUUCUCAUACAUCAACUUGUAGAGAGGCCACUCACUGGUCUUUUAGAAACUUUAGGAUAAUAGAAACAUUAACGUUUUUUUUUUCUUCCCUUGUUCCCCUCUUUAUGUUAGGGGGUAGAUAUUAUAGUUGAGGACUUUAUUAGUUUAUUUCAUUAUCUGAUCUUCUUUUCUCCAAUCUAACUUGAUGGAUAUGUUGCUCUUCUGUCAGCGGGAAAGAGACCGAGUUCCACAUUGAACCUGAAUUGACUCUAGAGUUGAUGAUGGCAGCUAAUUAUCUCCACACUUAGUGUAUUGUCUCAUUCUUGCCUCUUGAAGCACUUGCCUUUCUGUCAUUGUUUAUUCAAGGAGAAGAUUGUGGCUGGAGAAGGCUGGAUUUCAUAGGAAUUGUAUAUUGUUAAUAAGUACUGGAAUUUACUCCUAGAUUUCAAUUUAGUAUAGUACAAGGAUACAUUUGAUUGGAACUCUUGGAACAGUGUAUGACUGCAAACUGAUGUGGUCAUGUCCUUUACAAUUAAUAAGACCAUGUAGAAUUGUUGCAUAAUCAAAUAUUUGCAGAAAUGUUUUGUUCUGGA